rnacentral:rRNA from 1 species
ACGCACGCUGGCGGCGUGCUUAACACAUGCAAGUCGAACGGAAAGGCCCUGCUUUUGUGGGGUGCUCGAGUGGCGAACGGGAGAGUAACACGUGAGUAACCUGCCCUUGACUUUGGGAUAACUUCAGGAAACUGGGGCUAAUACCGGAUAGGAGCUCCUGCUGCAUGGUGGGGGUUGGAAAGUUUCGGCGGUUGGGGAUGGACUCGCGGCUUAUCAGCUUGUUGGUGGGGUAGUGGCUUACCAAGGCUUUGACGGGUAGCCGGCCUGAGAGGGUGACCGGCCACAUUGGGACUGAGAUACGGCCCAGACUACUACGGGAGGCAGCAGUGGGGAAUAUUGCACAAUGGGCGGAAGCCUGAUGCAGCAACGCCGCGUGCGGGAUGACGGCCUUCGGGUUGUAAACCGCUUUCGCCUGUGACGAAGCGUGAGUGAGGGUAAUGGGUAAAGAAGCACCGGCUAACUACGUG